AAGAGGGAAAGAGCUUGCUCUUUCCGGAAUUGAGUGGCAAACGGGUGAGUAACACGUAAACAACCUGCCUUCAGGAUGGGGACAACAGACGGAAACGACUGCUAAUACCGAAUAAGUUCCAAGAGCCGCAUGGCCCAUGGAAGAAAAGGUGGCCUCUACCUGUAAGCUAUCGCCUGAAGAGGGGUUUGCGUCUGAUUAGCUGGUUGGAGGGGUAACGGCCCACCAAGGCGACGAUCAGUAGCCGGUCUGAGAGGAUGAACGGCCACACUGGAACUGAGACACGGUCCAGACUCCUACGGGAGGCAGCAGUGGGGAAUCUUCCGCAAUGGGCGAAAGCCUGACGGAGCAACGCCGCGUGAGUGAUGACGGCCUUCGGGUUGUAAAACUCUGUGAUCCGGGACGAAAAGGCAGAGUGCGAAGAACAAACUGCAUUGACGGUACCGGAAAAGCAAGCCACGGCUAACUACGUGCCAGCAGCCGCGGUAAUACGUAGGUGGCAAGCGUUGUCCGGAAUUAUUGGGCGUAAAGCGCGCGCAGGCGGCUUCCCAAGUCCCUCUUAAAAGUGCGGGGCUUAACCCCGUGAUGGGAAGGAAACUGGGAAGCUGGAGUAUCGGAGAGGAAAGUGGAAUUCCUAGUGUAGCGGUGAAAUGCGUAGAGAUUAGGAAGAACACCGGUGGCGAAGGCGACUU
rnacentral:rRNA from 1 species